rnacentral:rRNA from 1 species
UGCCAGACUCCUACGGGAGGCAGCAGUGAGGAAUAUUGGUCAAUGGGCGAGAGCCUGAACCAGCCAAGUCGCGUGAGGGAAGACGGUCCUAUGGAUUGUAAACCUCUUUUGUCGGGGAGCAAAAAGGCCUCGUGAGGCCACAAGCGAGAGUACCCGAAGAAAAAGCAUCGGCUAACUCCGUGCCAGCAGCCGCGGUAAUACGGAGGAUGCGAGCGUUAUCCGGAUUUAUUGGGUUUAAAGGGUGCGCAGGCGGAAGAUCAAGUCAGCGGUAAAAUUGAGGGGCUCAACCUCUGCGAGCCGUUGAAACUGGUUUUCUUGAGUGAGUGAGAAGUAUGCGGAAUGCGUGGUGUAGCGGUGAAAUGCAUAGAUAUCACGCAGAGCUCCGAUUGCGAAGGCAGCAUACCGGCGCUCAACUGACGCUCAUGCACGAAAGUGUGGGUAUCGAACAGGAUUAGAUACCCCGGUAC